AGGAAACGGACGCUAAUACCGCAUACGUCCUACGGGAGAAAGCAGGGGACCUUCGGGCCUUGCGCUAUCAGAUGAGCCUAGGUCGGAUUAGCUAGUUGGUGAGGUAAUGGCUCACCAAGGCGACGAUCCGUAACUGGUCUGAGAGGAUGAUCAGUCACACUGGAACUGAGACACGGUCCAGACUCCUACGGGAGGCAGCAGUGGGGAAUAUUGGACAAUGGGCGGGGGGGUGAUCCAGCCAUGCCGCGUGUGUGAAGAAGGUCUUCGGAUUGUAAAGCACUUUAUUUUUUGGUUUUAAGGGUUGUAGAUUAAUACUCUGCAAUUUUGACGUUACCGACAGAAUAAGCACCGGCUAACUCUGUGCCAGCAGCCGCGGUAAUGUUA
rnacentral:rRNA from 1 species